AACGCACCUUGCGCUCCUUGGUAUUCCGAGGAGCAUGCCUGUUUGAGUGUCAUGUUAAUAUCAAUCCCCCCGGUUUUCUUUCGUUUCGUUACGAAGUGGAACCGUCGGGCUUGGACUUGGAGGUUCUGCUGGCUUUCAAAGUCGGCUCCUCUCGAAAGCAUUAGCUGGGCUUUCGCUCGUGCGCGGUGUGAUAGUUUUAUUCGCCGUGGGCUUGCGUGUCUCGUCCGCUUCGAACCGUCUUCGGACAAAGUGGAUUUACACUUUUACACUUGACUUUCUGACCUCAAAUCAGGUAGGACUACCCGCUGAACUUAA
rnacentral:rRNA from 1 species